UAAUCCUUCCACCUUCCCUGCC
rnacentral:piRNA from 1 species